UAAUAUCAGUAUUACAGAAAAAAAGUUGUAUUGCUCUGACUUCAGCAUUCAGUUUAAAUCCUUUAAAACCUAAUAGAGCUGGAUCUGAGUAGAAAUGAACUAGGAGACUCAGGAAUAAAGAAGAUCUGUCCUCUGUUGAAAAAUACACAAAUUCAAAUUGGGAAUAUUGAAGCUUUCAGACUGCAGUAUUUCUGAAGAAGGUUAUAAAGCUCUGGCUUCAGCUCUGAAAUCAACCCUUCACACCUGAUAGAGCUGGAUCUCACAGGAAAUGAUCCUGGACAAUCAGGAGUGAAGGAGCUUGAUGAUUUACUACAGGAUAAACGCUGUAAAUUGAAAACCAUCAGGUUCUUGAAAAGUCCUGCUGCACAGGAAGCGUGUGAGUAUUUCAAGAAAGUACUGAAAUAUGAAUCCAUUACUACUGAAAGAACUGGAUCUGAGUGAAGAUAAACUAGGAGAUCUGGAUUGGGAGAAGUUCUAUGCUCUUUUUGAUGGACUCUCAUAGCAAACUAGAGAAA